rnacentral:ncRNA from 1 species
CAACCUCAACUCAUAUGGGACUACCCCCUGAAUUUAAGCAUAUUAAUUAGGGGAGGAAAAGAAACUAACAAGGAUUUUCUUAGUAGCGGCGAGCGAAAAGAAAUCAGUUCAGCACUAAGUCACUUUGUCUAUAUGGCAAAUGUGAGAUGCAGUGUACGGAACAUCAACAUUCUAGUAUGAGAAGUUAACGAUUUAAGUCCUUCUUAAAUGAGGCCAUUUACCCAUAGAGGGUGCCAGGCCCGUAUAACGUUAAUGAUUACUAGAUGGUGUUUCCAAAGAGUCGUGUUGCUUGAUAGUGCAGCACUAAGUGGGUGGUAAACUCCAUCUAAAACUAAAUAUAACCAUGAGACCGAUAGUAAACAAGUACCGUGAGGGAAAGUUGAAAAGAACUCUGAAUAGAAAGUUAAAUAGUACGUGAAACUACUUAGAGGUUAAGCCCGAUGAACCUGAAUAUCCGUUAUGGAAAAUUCAUCAUUAGAAUUGUAAUAUUUUAAACAAUAUUAUAAUAAUAGUGUGCAUUUUUUCCAUAUAAGGACAUUGUAAUCUAUUAGCAUAAAUAUUUAUCAUAAAAUUAUGUCUGAUUGCUUAUUUGAAUUAUGCUUGGCAUUUUAACAUAAAAUAAAAGAUAUAAAUUUGAUAAAGUGCUGAUAGAUUUAUAUGAUUACAGUGCGUUAAUUUUUCGGAAUUAUAUAAUGGCAUAAUUAUCAUUGAUAUUUGUGUUCAUUAUAUGCAUUUGUAUGAUUAACAAUGCGAAAGAUUCAGGAUACCUUCGGGA